UGAGGCCCAAAAGCCACCCUUAAGGUCAAAAAUAGAAAUGGGCUUGGUUCAAACAAGGAAACGCGCACCAUUCUCAUGUUCGUCAUCCCUCCACCGUCUCCGUCGCGUCGGCGUCGCCUUCGGCGAAGGCGGAGAACCUAGAACCUACAACAAUCUACAUUAACUUGUUCACCUCUUCACCCUGAGCUCGAAUAUGGUGAUGAAGUGUCUAGAACCUCAUCCAAAAGUAUGGAUAGAAGCUUGGAAAUGAAGAACCCUAAGUCUUAAAAGAUAAAUUAAAUGGGAACCGUGCACGGACUUCAACAAUUGAAUGAGGGUUAAUUCUCUGUGGAGUAUGAUCUACACAGUGGCAACUUCGGUUUGGUGAGUGGAAGAAGUGAAUACCUCCGACGCGGUGGUUCCGGUGAGGAUGAAUUGGAGAUGAUGAAGCUUUAAUUCAGAGCAUAAUUCCCUGUAAGAAUCAGUUGGAGGAAAGCUCAGUGAAGCUAAAUGCUGAGUCUUAGCUGAAUGAAACAAUUACUACACUUUAUUAAAACAAAAGUUAGUUGAGAGUUGAAAUAUAGAGUUAUCUCUUGAAGCUUGAACUAUGGUUGUUGAACAACCAGGUGUUGAAUUUAUCCAUAGUCUGUUGCUGGCUUGCUAGGACUGGUAUGAAUUGCUACCCAGAUUCCCUUGUUGGCUACAUGAUUUGCUUGUGUUGUGAUGCAUUGCAAGUUGGCUUGCUUGCUGCAGAUUUGUUGUGCAUUGCCAAUGUUGCUUGCAGGUUGAUGUGUGAUGUCUUGAUUGCCUUGGAUUGUCGCAGAAUGAUGCUUGAUGGUGACUGUAGUUUAUGGACUAGUGGAAAGCAUUGUUAGUUGCAGAUGGUGAGUUGGAUUGUUGUUGCUAUGCUGCCAGAUUUGGUGGAAGGGAGCUUGAUAUUGUGCAUUGUAGGUUUACUCUAUUUGCAGGAUGCUUCAACAGGCUAUGCAUUACUCUGGUUGCUGUUAGUCAUGGAAUGUCAUGCAUUGUUAAACAUGUUAAGGUGUGGCAGAUUUGAAUGGCCUUUGUGAUACAGGUGCCUUGGACUUUUGGCUGCUUGUGUGUCUUGCUACUGCAACAUUUUUACAUGUAUGGAUAUUGGUAUGCCACAUGUUAUGGACAUUGAAGCAAGGCUUCAAACAAGAUCACCAAGAAAUUUAUAUGCCAUGACCAAAAUGCAAAACAAGCUUUGCUUGGAAAGGAAGUUAACUUGGAAGAAAAAUGAUGAAGCAAGAAGAAUGAAGGAUGAUGUUAUGAAGUUUAGGAACUUUAGAAGAAGUGUGUUAACUUUGGUCAAAGUUGACCAAAAAGUCAAUGGUUGACCAAAGUCAACUUUGGUCAAAGUUUUAUUUUUCUAUUUUGUUUUGUAAAAGUGAUGUAAAUGGCCUAUGUAUGAAUGGAUCUUUGCAUAAAAUGCCUUUUGAAUGUAUUGAAACAAUGCUUUGUUUUGCCUACUAAAAUCAUGUUUGAAUGGUCUUGAAUGAAA